GACGAACGCUGGCGGCGUGCUUAACACAUGCAAGUCGAACGGAAAGGCCCUGCUUUUGUUGGCUGCUCGAUUGGCGAACGGGUGAGUAACACGUGAGUAACCUGCCCUUGACUUUGGGAUAACUUCAGGAAACUGGGGCUAAUACCGGAUAGUAGCUCCUGCUGCUUGGUGUGGGUUGGAAAGUUUCGGCGGGUGGGGAUGGACUCGCGGCUUAUCAGCUUGUUGGUGGGGUAGUGGCUUACCCAGGCUUUGACGGGUCGCCGGCCUGAGAGGGUGACCGGCCACAUAGGGACUGAGAUACGGCCCAGACUCCUACGGGAGGCAGCAGUGGGGAAUAUUGCACAAUGGGCGGAAGCCUGGUGCAGCAACGCCGCGUGCGGGAUGACGGCCUUCGGGUUGUAAACCGCGUUCGCCUGUGACGAAGCGUGAGUGACGGUAAUGUGUAAAGAAGCACCGGCUAACUACGUG
rnacentral:rRNA from 1 species